UACGUAGGGUGCAAGCGUUAAUCGGAAUUACUGGGCGUAAAGCGUGCGCAGGCGGUGAUGUAAGACAGAUGUGAAAUCCCCGGGCUCAACCUGGGAACUGCAUUUGUGACUGCAUCGCUGGAGUGCGGCAGAGGGGGAUGGAAUUCCGCGUGUAGCAGUGAAAUGCGUAGAUAUGCGGAGGAACACCGAUGGCGAAGGCAAUCCCCUGGGCCUGCACUGACGCUCAUGCACGAGAGCGUGGGGAGCAAACAGG
rnacentral:rRNA from 1 species